GGCUGCGCGGCGCGGCCGAUCCCGGGGGCCGCUGGCGAGGUCCAGAUGCUCCUGUUACUACCGGGGUCAUCGCUGAAGACGCAGAGUCCUGCCCCUGGGGAGGCACCGUGGGUCCCAAAGACUUGCCCUUUGAAGAUCUUUCAAAAUGAGGAUGAGCGCUUCAUAACGUUUUUUAAAAAUAAUGUGUGACAAAAGCUGAACUACAUAAAAGAAGAGCAGAAUUAGUAAACUGCACUGCUCAUUGGAAAAGAAAAAGUCUCACUAAGGAAUAAAGAAGAGACCAUAACCACAGACACUGUGAGGAUCCGAGAGCAGCAUUCAGCCCCAUCUCCUACAUUGGAAGAAUGGAAAAAGCCAAACAUCCAUCACCUUUUUACUUUGACAAAUACAGUACUGUGUCCCAGCGACCCCAGAGGCUGAUAAUCACAGUGUCCUCCAUGCUGAAAGGGGAACUGAGGAAGGCCAAAAGCUCAUCCACCUUCUACUUAACAAAUCGAACUCAGGACCUUGAGCUUUCGAGGCAGGCAGCGGAACCACUGAGCUAAAUCCCUGGCCGUCAUGUGCCUUUGUACAGCAUGGAUAAUUUGAAUAAUUAAAAGAAAAAAGAAUCCAAGUUCUCUGAACAUAUGGCUGGUAACUAACCUUCCUAAUUCAGCAGAAGUACUCAAGCUUUGGAACACCUCCCAGGAACCUCAGCUUGCGCUGCUCCUGCAGAAGCCUAGGCUGCGCCUGUCGACUGCCCACAACCUUCGUGUGCCCUCGCUGCAGUUCCCAAGAGGCCUGUGGCCACAGACAAGAGUCUGCCUAUGUAGCCC
ensembl:lncRNA